CCUACGGGAGGCAGCAGUGGGGAAUUUUCCGCAAUGGGCGAAAGCCUGACGGAGCAAUACCGCGUGAGGGAAGAAUGCCUACGGGUUGUAAACCUCUUUUAUCAGGGAGGAACAAAAUGACGUGUACCUGAUGAAUAAGCAUCGGCUAACUCUGUGCCAGCAGCCGCGGUAAGACAGAGGAUGCAAGUGUUAUCCGGAAUUACUGGGCGUAAAGCGUCUGUAGGUUGUUGAACAAGUCAACUGUUAAAUCUUGAAGCUCAACUUCAAAAUCGCAGUCGAAACUGUUUGACUAGAGUAUAGUAGAGGUAAAGGGAAUUUCCAGUGGAGCGGUGAAAUGCGUAGAUAUUGGAAAGAACACCGAUGGCGAAAGCACUUUACUGGGCUAUUACUGACACUCAGAGACGACAGCUAGGGUAGCAAAUGGGAUUAGAUACCCCAGUAGUCCUAGCCGUAAACUAUGGAUACUAGAUGUUGAACAGAUCGACCUGUGCAGUAUUAAAGCUAACGCGUUAAGUAUCCCGCCUGGGAAGUAUGCUCGCAAGAGUGAAACUCAAAGGAAUUGACGG
rnacentral:rRNA from 1 species